GUGUACUAAUUAAAUCUAGAGAACAAGUGAUGAAUAUUCAUGAGUAGAAUUAAUCCAUGAAUAGAAUUAAUACUUUUAAAGAGAGAUAACAGUAUGCUACUAUGUUAACAGAAUUUAAGUAUUUAUGAUUGCAAUCCAGUGGUGGUACUACACACUUACGUGCUGUGGAAAAUAGUCCUUUUGUCACUGAAAAGUUGCAAAUGGCUCAGUCGUACUAAAUGAGCAUUGAUCAUUUGCCUUCUGUUCUAUUUUCGGACUCUUAUCUGUGUUGAUUGCAAGCUACAAGUUGCUGGUUGGAAGCCCAAAGUUGUGCAGCAUUUUUUUUAAAAUUCUUCUGGAGUUUUAAGUUCCAAAUCAAUGUAAUAUGAGGAUAUUUAUCAUCAUAAUGACUGUUCUGGAGUACCCCAAGGAUGAGCUAAGAAUCUGAACACUGAUUAAAAGACAUAAGGGAUCAACACUCCCCUCAGAAGUAGGAGGACAAUGAUGGACAGAGUGGAGGAAGCGGAAGCUGUGAGCCAAGCACUUAGAGAAGCCCUGUGAGGAUGUUUUAUUUGCACAUUUGUUUAUUUGCCUAUCCAACAUAUGGCUGGUGCAUAACCUGGAGUAAUGGUUCUUAUUAGAAAUGGUACAAGAAACACCACUUGUAUCUGAAAGUGUUCCACAUGUGAGUGAAAGGCAAAAUACCUAUUCUUCCAGUGCAUCUAGUGAAAUGCACUCCACAAAGAAUUGAUGGUUGAUGUUCUUCAUGCAUCAUUUUCAAUCUGCUACUAUAAUCUUCCACUUUUCUGCAAGGGAGUUUGCCCAUGUCUUCUCUUCAUUGCUUUGCUACUGAAGGCAGGAGACAGGUUCCAUCAUAAGGCGAGCCACUAUGACAUCAGCAGCCCAACCUGACAUCAGUAGCCAGUAGCAUUCACUGCACAGGAAUGAAAGAUGGGAAGCAGGGGUGAGACCCUGAGUUAAAGGGAUGACAUGGAAGCAAGCAGUGUAUGGAGGGAAGGUGAUGAAGUCAAGGAGGAAUGCAAGCAGUAAGUCUGGGAAAGAAGGUGUGGAAGAAGAAGAGCUUAAGGAGACAGAAGCUGGAUCAGAAGAAGCUUGGAGGCUUACAAAAUGAGAAGAAGCCAAUAUCAGAGAAAGAGAAGAGGUGGCAGGAGUUUGAGGGAAGAUGUGAAACAAUGCAGCAGGCAGAGGAGGCAUGAAGGCAAAGAGAUGGGAGAGACCCAGAGAAGAGAAGAUGACAUCAAAUUGCUUCAACGAAGCUGUUCCAGUGUGGGAAUCUUGUAUAUACACUGCAUCGUUCUCCAUUGCACACUCUCCAAUGCUGUGAAUGAAAGUGAAUUUCCAUGCUCUUGUAGAACUGGCUCAUGCUAAAUUAAAUUUGUUUUGUUCGUCGCAUAAAA